GACGAACGCUGGCGGCGUGCCUAAUACAUGCAAGUUGAGCGAUGAAGAUUGGUGCUUGCCCCAAUUUGAAGAGCAGCGAACGGGUGAGUAACGCGUGGGGAAUCUGCCUUUGAGCGGGGGACAACAUUUGGAAACGAAUGCUAAUACCGCAUAACAACUUUAAACAUAAGUUUUAAGUUUGAAAGAUGCAAUUGCAUCACUCAAAGAUGAUCCCGCGUUGUAUUAGCUAGUUGGUGAGGUAAAGGCUCACCAAGGCGAUGAUACAUAGCCGACCUGAGAGGGUGGUCGGCCACAAUGGGACUGAGACACGGCCCAAACUCCUACGGGAGGCAGCAGUAGGGAAUCUUCGGCAAUGGACGAAAGUCUGACCGAGCAACGCCGCGUGAGUGAAGAAGGUUUUCGGAUCGUAAAACUCUGUUGGUAGAGAAGAACGUUGGUGAGAGUGGAAAGCUCAUCAAGUGACGGUAACUACCCAGAAAGGGACGGCUAACUACGUG
rnacentral:rRNA from 1 species